rnacentral:rRNA from 1 species
AACGAACGCUGGCGGCAUGCCUAACACAUGCAAGUCGAACGAAGCCUUCGGGCUUAGUGGCGCACGGGUGCGUAACACGUGGGAAUCUGCCCUUUGGUUCGGAAUAACAGUUGGAAACGACUGCUAAUACCGGAUGAUGACGGAAGUCCAAAGAUUUAUCGCCAGAGGAUGAGCCCGCGUAGGAUUAGCUAGUUGGUGUGGUAAAGGCGCACCAAGGCGACGAUCCUUAGCUGGUCUGAGAGGAUGAUCAGCCACACUGGGACUGAGACACGGCCCAGACUCCUACGGGAGGCAGCAGUGGGGAAUAUUGGACAAUGGGCGAAAGCCUGAUCCAGCAAUGCCGCGUGAGUGAUGAAGGCCCUAGGGUUGUAAAGCUCUUUUACCCGGGAUGAUAAUGACAGUACCGGGAGAAUAAGCCCCGGCUAACUCCGUGCCAGCCGCCGCAGUAA